AUUGAACGCUGGCGGCAGGCCUAACACAUGCAAGUCGAACGAGUGGCGGACGGGUGAGUAACACGUGGGAACCUACCCAGCAGAGGGGGAUAACAAUUGGAAACAGGUGCUAAUACCGACUACUGAUGGAUGGACCCGCGUUGCAUUAGCUAGUAGGUGAGGUAAUGGCUCACCUAGGCGACGAUCCCUAGCUGGGCGGAGAGGAUGAUCAGCCACACUGGGACUGAGACACGGCCCUGACUCCUACGGGAGGCAGCAGUGGGGAAUAUUGCACAAUGGGCGCAAGCCUGAUGCAGCCAUGCCGCGUGUAUGAAGAAGGCCCUAGGGUUGUAAAGUACUUUCAGUCGGGAGGCGUUACCGACAGAAGAAGCACCGGCUAACUCCGUGCCAGCAGCCGCGGUAAUAC
rnacentral:rRNA from 1 species